AUGGCUCAGAGGUUAAGAGCCCUGAC
rnacentral:piRNA from 1 species